rnacentral:lncRNA from 1 species
CCACAUCGGUUAAAUUCAAGAGUGUAGAUGGCUUAAUAAGUAUGGUAGAACAUCAACCUAAUAGGUUAACCUUUUAGGUAAGGAGGUGGUCCAACAUACUUAUUGGGCUUGUCUACACAGGUGUGUGCGCUGCUAAGGUGAUGAAUAGAUGUGGGAUGGAUCGUACAAUUCCGCUACAAGUGGUAUCAAAGCCCAUGGUUUGGUGGGAGUCCAAGUAUCAACUUCAAGGUGCGAGGGGGUGCGCGAGAGGUACAAUUCGUAGGCCUCGUGGGUGGAGUAAAUAGAGUUGAAUCAGGUGGAGCACGGGAGCACAGGAUGAUUUGAGUCGGGUGGAGCGGGGGCUUAGGAAGGCUCUAGGGAAAUUGCUGAGACACUCAGGACGUGGUGAGACACCCAGGACGUGGUGGAGUAAUAUUAGAGUCAAGCAAGGCUCUUGAAGAACUCAAAAAGUAUUUGAAUCGGGUGGAGCAUGGCUCGGGAUGGCUCUAGGAAAAACUGCUGGGAGUAGUAUUAGAGUCGAGCAGAGAGCUCUUGAAGGAUUCAAAGAAGGUGUGUGCUGUGCUUAAUGGUAAGAUACUCUAGUAUGAUACUUGUGAUGGGUAUUCAAGUGAAAGGUGGAGAUUGUUGGGAUUUCACAUGAAUCCCACAUCGGUUAAAUUCAAGAGUGUAGAUGGCUUAAUAAGUAUGGUAGAACAUCAAC